rnacentral:rRNA from 1 species
CACCUCCUAACAGCUAGCCCCCCCCCAAAAACAACAACCAAUAUUAAUAACCCCAUAUCCCCAGCACUUACAAAGCAAACCAUUUUACCCCCUUAGUA